rnacentral:rRNA from 1 species
UUUCGAGGCCUCGUAAUCGGAAUGAGUACACUUUAAAUAUUUUAACGAGGAACAAUUGGAGGGCAAGUCUGGUGCCAGCAGCCGCGGUAAUUCCAGCUCCAAUAGCGUAUACUAAAUUUGUUGCGGUUAAAAAGCUCGUAGUUGCAUUUGUGCGCCGCGCUGUCGGUGCACCGCUUUCGCGGUGAUACUGACACGUCUGCGGAGAUAUCGUCGGUGAGCUUUCGGUAAAACGAGAGUUCAAUAUCAAAAAUCCUAUCGCGGUGCUCUUCGGUGAGUGUCGAGAUGGGCCGACAAUUUUACUUUGAACAAAUUAGAGUGCUCAAAGCGGGCUAAAAAUGCCGCUCGAAUAUUUAGUGCAUGGAAUAAUAGAAUAUGAUCUCGGUUCUAUUUUGUUGGUUUUCAGAACUCCGAGGUAAUGAUUAAUAGGGAUAACUGGGGGCAUUCGUAUUGCGACGUUAGAGGUGAAAUUCUUGGAUCGUCGCAAGACGAACAUCAGCGAAAGCAUUUGCCAAAGGUGUUUUCAUCAAUCAAGAACGAAAGUUAGAGGUUCGAAGGCGAUUAGAUACCGCCCUAGUUCUAACCGUAAAUAUGUCAUCUAGCGAUCCGCCGACGUUAAAAAAAUGGCUCGGCGGGCAGCUUCCGGGAAACCAAAGAUUUUGGACUCCGGGGGGAGUAUGGUUGCAAAGCUGAAACUUAAAGGAA